GCUUUCUCGGGGCUCCCUGUGCCCAUCUGUCUUCUGAAAAACGCCGCGGCGAGGCUCCCUUCUGCCCAGCGCCUGCCGUCGGGUUCCCUUUCUUCAUUAAGCAGGACCGGCGCGGGCAGAGGGAAUGUAUGAUUUAAGGAAGAAAGAGAGGCCCACUACUUAAUGUUGAUUUGGCGGAGUGUAUAACCCCGGAGAGAAAUGUAAAUAGCAGCCUGCAAUAACAUGACAGCCCACUAAUCAUAUUUACAAACGAUAUUAAAUCUGUCUGCACGCAGGCCUGCCUGCGGAUUGGCCCGGCCGUAAUUGUCAUUGUAACCAGCGCCGGCUUAUGGGAGGAUUUAACUGCAGUGAUAUAAGAGCAGGAAUGGAGGAAUGGGAGCGUUAAAUCGUGCCGUGCUCAACCUGGAGGGACGACUCCGGGGACGAAUGGCAGCAGGCCCCCGGCCCGGACUUGUUGCCUCAGGAGCUGGGGCCCAUCAGUCGUAGGGCCCGGAGCCCUGGCCUGGCCAAAGAAGAUCGCUCUGCCCACCUCUCAGAGCUGGACAGUACGCAGACAGUCUUUUCUGUGGCUCCGACUGCCUUUCAAAGAGGAGUGGACGCAGGACUGCCAUCGGAAAGAGGAGGGCCUGAGUUAGGGUGGGGUGCUUGCAGGAGUGCCCGUCAGGGCCACACUUGGGGCUCCUCUGGCCGUGGGAGCCGAGCCAAGCCUGUGAAGGCUGCACCCAGAGAGCCCGCAGAGACUCAGCACAAAAGGUCUUGGAAGAAGUUUAAUAAAAGCUGCUUUAUUUC